GGCUGGUCCAAGUGUAGUGGUGUCCACAGCUAAAUUGAUCACAGCUAGUUACAGAUUUCUUUGUUCCUUCUCCACCCUCCUUGCUUCACUUGACUAGCCUUAC
rnacentral:Y_RNA from 1 species